rnacentral:rRNA from 1 species
UACAGAGGGUGCGAGCGUUGUUCGGAAUUAUUGGGCGUAAAGGGCGCGUAGGCGGUGCGGUAAGUCACCUGUGAAAUCUCCUGGCUCAACUGGGAGCUUGCAGGCGAAACUGCCGUGCUGGAGUGUGGGAGAGGUGCGUGGAAUUCCUGGUGUAGCGGUGAAAUGCGUAGAUAUCAGGAAGAACACCCGUGGCUAAGGCGGCUCUCUAGUACGGUACUGACGCUGAGACGCGAAAGCGUGGGGAGCGAACAGG